AAAUGGUUUAUUUUAUUUUAUUUUAUGGGAUUUAUUUCUGGUUUCUGAUUGGCUUGCAGGCCUAGGGAGGUUUGUUGACCAAUGAGGUUGCACAACAUAGGUGUGUGCGGCGGGUGAACACGCGGUUCCCGGCGUUUUUCUCACACUAGGGCAGACAGCGGUAGAGCGAGCACCUGGAGCUCAGAUCUUUCCAGCUAAUCGGAAAUAAAACAAAGUAAAAGUUAAUAAAAGUUCACUAAAACAUCACAGAACAUUCCUAGUUGGCAGGAUUACUUACCUGGAGCUGUAAUUGGAGCGUCUGCGUUGUCUACCCCGUGUGAGCAUGCUGCGGUUUCCCCGCAUUGGUCAGGUUUUUUGAGAGAGGUGAAGUUGAACUGAAUUCCAGUGAUUUGGAUGGCGAGCCGAGCCCGACUAUCUGAACCAAGGAACCUUACUGCAUGCAGCGAACUGAACUCUGAUUCCACGUUCACACUGACACUGAGCCUAUUCACUUCUGAGCUUGGUAGGCUAAACUUGCACUCCCACAAAUCGCAGGAUCCUACAUUCGCUCGACUUAAUUUUGUGGACAUGGACUGUGGUAUGCGAACACAUUUCCAAUUGGAAUCAGAACACUAAAGGACGUCUAAGUCCCAGGAUUCUCUAAUUUCCAUUUUCUGAACGUGACUGGUGUUUAUUUUCUUUGUUUUUUUUCUCUUCUCACAAUUACCCGGGUAACAUGUUUUGUAUGCAUUGAAUUGUGUUUUUUUGUAUUAAAUUGAACAAUUCCUUUUUCCAAAUAUA